CGAAUUUUCCAUUACUUGCCACGUGGCCCUGACAUCACACUAAUCAAUACUAAUAUGUCUGUUGUUAAAUAGUCCCAGUCCAUGGCAAAGGACAAAUAAUUGCCACCGAACUCUAAAAUAUCGACGGCAAAUCCAGGUACUCGAUGGAUAGUUUCAAUACUUCUAGCUUUAUUUCAACAAUAAAGAAAACAAAUAUAUAUUGCCGACUGUUCUGCAAGGCAUACGCUGUUCCUCAAAAUUCUUUGUUGGACUGCAUGCUUUAUGUAUCAGAUUAUACUGGCGAGCUUCGCCUUUAAUGCUAAAUAUUAGCUAAAUGUAAAAACAGAAAUUUGGCGGUCACUGACGUUCAUUGUACUUAACGCCAUACAAAUGUAUUUUGCAAUUCAAAUUAUGGAUGCGGGUUGAGUUUCUUGUAUACAUCACUCAAAAACGCCUCCUUAUUUGUCCACUUAUCUGAGAUCACGACCAACUUCACCAUCGUACGAAAGAAGGAAAUAUAAGGAUCGUAAUUCCU
rnacentral:lncRNA from 1 species